rnacentral:tRNA from 1 species
AGAUACCGAGUGGAAUUACCUCAAUUGACUUCGAACCAAGUGGUUAGCUGUGUCUU